rnacentral:rRNA from 1 species
CUGGUUGAUCCUGCCGGAGGUUACUGCUAUCGAGGUUCGACUAAGCCAUGCGAGUCGAAUGUAGCAAUACAUGGCGUACUGCUCAGUAACACGUGGAUGACCUGCCCUUAGGACGGGGAUAAACCCGGGAAACUGGGUAUAAUACCCGAUAGAUCUCGAUUGCUGGAAUGCAUCGAGUUCUAAAGCUCCGGCGCCUAAGGAUGGAUCUGCGGCCUAUCAGGUAGUAGUGGGUGUAGCGUACCUACUAGCCUACGACGGGUACGGGUCGUGAGAGCGAGAGCCCGGAGAUGGAUUCUGAGACACGAAUCCAGGCCCUACGGGGUGCAGCAGGCGCGAAAACUUUACAAUGCUGGCAACAGCGAUAAGGGGACCUCGAGUGCCAGGAUACAAUCUUGGCUGUCGCGAUGCCUAAAAAGCAUUGCAUAGCAAGGACCGGGCAAGACCGGUGCCAGCCGCCGCGGUAACACCGGCGGCUCGAGUGGUAACCGCUAUUAUUGGGUCUAAAGGGUCUGUAGCCGGCCGGAUAAGUCUCUUGGGAAAUCCAGCAGCUCAACUGUUGGGCUUUCAGGGGAUACUGUUCGGCUCGAGACCGGGAGAGGUGAGAGGUACUUCAGGGGUAGGGGUGAAAUCUUGUAAUCCUUGAAGGACCACCAGUGGCGAAGGCGUCUCACCAGAACGGAUCUGACGGCAAGGGACGAAAGCUAGGGGCACGAACCGGAUUAGAUACCCGGGUAGUCCUAGCCGUAAACGAUACCCGCUAGGUGUCAGCCACGGUGCGACCGUGGUUGGUGCCGUAGGGAAGCCGUGAAGCGAGCCACCUGGGAAGUACGGCCGCAAGGCUGAAACUUAAAGGAAUUGGCGGGGGAGCACUACAACGGGUGGAGCCUGCGGUUUAAUUGGAUUCAACGCCGGA